UACGAAGGGGGCUAGCGUUGUUCGGAAUUACUGGGCGUAUAGCGCACGCAGGCGGAUUGAUUAGUCGGGGGUGAAAUCCCCGGGCUCAACCCGGGAACUGCGUCCGAUACUGGAAGGCUUGAAUCCGGGAGAGGGAUGCGGAAUUCCAGGUGUAGCGGUGAAAUGCGUAGAUAUCUGGAGGAACACCGGUGGCGAAGGCGGCAUCCUGGACCGGUAUUGACGCUGAGGCGCGAAAGCCAGGGGAGCAAACGGG
rnacentral:rRNA from 1 species